rnacentral:rRNA from 1 species
GACGAACGCUGGCGGCGUGCCUAAUACAUGCGAGUAGAACGCUGAAGGAGGAGCUUGCUUCUCUGGAUGAGUUGCGAACGGGUGAGUAACGCGUAGGUAACCUGCCUGGUAGCGGGGGAUAACUAUUGGAAACGAUAGCUAAUACCGCAUAACAGUAGAUAUCGCAUGAUAUCUACUUGAAAGGUGCAAUUGCAUCACUACCAGAUGGACCUGCGUUGUAUUAGCUAGUUGGUGAGGUAACGGCUCACCAAGGCGACGAUACAUAGCCGACCUGAGAGGGUGAUCGGCCACACUGGGACUGAGACACGGCCCAGACUCCUACGGGAGGCAGCAGUAGGGAAUCUUCGGCAAUGGACGGAAGUCUGACCGAGCAACGCCGCGUGAGUGAAGAAGGUUGUCGGAUCGUAAAGCUCUGUUGUAAGAGAAGAACGAGUGUGAGAGUGGAGAGUUCACACUGUGACGGUAUCUUACCAGAAAGGGACGGCUAACUACGUG